AACGCGAAGAACCUUACCUGGGCUAGACAACGGUGGACCGUCCUAGAAAUAGGAUUUUCCCUUCGGGGACUGCCGGUUCAGGUGCUGCAUGGCUGUCGUCAGCUCGUGCCGUGAGGUGUUGGGUUAAGUCCCGCAACGAGCGCAACCCUUGUCCUUAGUUGCCACCAUUCAGUUGGGCACUCUAGGGAGACUGCCGGCGUUAAGCCGGAGGAAGGUGGGGACGACGUCAAGUCAUCAUGGCCCUUAUGUCCAGGGCCACACACGUGCUACAAUGGGCGGUACAAAGGGUCGCAAACCCGCGAGGGGGAGCCAAUCCCAAAAAGCCGCUCUCAGUUCGGAUUGGAGUCUGCAACUCGACUCCAUGAAGUUGGAAUCGCUAGUAAUCGCGGAUCAGCACGCCGCGGUGAAUACGUUCCCGGGCCUUGUA
rnacentral:rRNA from 1 species